GACGAACGCUGGCGGCGUGCUUAACACAUGCAAGUCGAACGGAAAGGCCCUGCUUUUGUGGGGUGCUCGAGUGGCGAACGGGUGUGUAACACGUGAGUAACCUGCCCUUUACCUUGGGAUAACUUCAGGAAACUGGGGCUAAUACCGGAUAUGAGCUCCUGCUGCAUGUGGGGGGUUGGAAAGUUUCGGCGGUUGGGGAUGGACUCGCGGCUUAUCAGCUUGUUGGUGGGGUAGUGGCUUACCAAGGCUUUGACGGGUAGCCGGCCUGAGAGGGUGACCGGCCACAUUGGGACUGAGAUACGGCCCAGACUCCUACGGGAGGCAGCAGUGGGGAAUAUUGCACAAUGGGCGGAAGCCUGAUGCAGCAACGCCGCGUGCGGGAUGACGGCCUUCGGGUUGUAAACCGCUUUCGCCUGUGACGAAGCGUGAGUGACGGUAAUGGGUGAAGAAGCACCGGCUAACUACGUG
rnacentral:rRNA from 1 species